rfam:Ancylostoma ceylanicum strain HY135 Acey_s0158_scaf, whole genome shotgun sequence.
CCAACGGCCCUCUUUAGGGCCACAAUAGAUGUCGAAUACUUUGUUGU